UACGAGUAGGGCUACACACGUGCUACAAUGGCGCAUACAAAGAGAAGCGACCUCGCGAGAGCAAGCGGACCUCAUAAAGUGCGUCGUAGUCCGGAUUGGAGUCUGCAACUCGACUCCAUGAAGUCGGAAUCGCUAGUAAUCGUAGAUCAGAAUGCUACGGUGAAUACGUUCCCGG
rnacentral:rRNA from 1 species